AACUAGAGUAUGGUAGCUUAAUGGGGAAUUUCUGGUGUAGCGGUGAAAUGCGUAGAGAUCAGAAGGAACACCAAUGGCGAAGGCAACAUUCUGGACCAAUACUGACACUGAGGGACGAAAGCGUGGGGAUCAAACAGGAUUAGAUACCCUGGUAGUCCACGCUGUAAACGAUGAGUACUAGCUGUUGGAUUCGGUGUAAAGGAUCUAGUGGCGUAGCUAACGCGUUAAGUACUCCGCCUGGGGACUACGGCCGCAAGGCUAAAACUCAAAGGAAUUGACGGGGACCCGCACAAGCGGUGGAGCAUGUGGUUUAAUUCGAUGCAACGCGAAGAACCUUACCUGGUCUUGACAUCCUGCGAACUUUCUAGAGAUAGAUUGGUGCCUUCGGGAACGCAGUGACAGGUGCUGCACGGCUGUCGUCAGCUCGUGUUGUGAAAUGUUGGGUUAAGUCCCGCAACGAGCGCAACCCCUAUUGAUAGUUACCAUCAUUAAGUUGGGUACUCUAUUGAGACUGCCGCUGACAAGGCGGAGGAAGGUGGGGACGACGUCAAGUCAUCAUGGCCCUUACGACCAGGGCUACACACGUGCUACAAUGGGUAUUACAGAGGGCAGCGAAGUAGCGAUAUGGAGCGAAACUCAGAAAGGUACUCUUAGUCCGGAUUGCAGUCUGCAACUCGACUGCAUGAAGUCGGAAUCGCUAGUAAUCGCAGGUCAGAAUACUGCGGUGAAUACGUUCCCGGGUCUUGUACACACCGCCCGUCACACCAUGGGAGUGGGUUGCUCCAGAAGU
rnacentral:rRNA from 1 species